GUGGGGAAUAUUGGACAAUGGGCGAAAGCCUGAUCCAGCCAUGCCGCGUGUGUGAAGAAGGUCUUCGGAUUGUAAAGCACUUUAAGUUGGGAGGAAGGGCAGUUACCUAAUACGUGAUUGUCUUGACGUUACCGACAGAAUAAGCACCGGCUAACUCUGUGCCAGCAGCCGCGGUAAUACAGAGGGUGCAAGCGUUAAUCGGAAUUACUGGGCGUAAAGCGCGCGUAGGUGGUUUGUUAAGUUGAAUGUGAAAUCCCCGGGCUCAACCUGGGAACUGCAUCCAAAACUGGCAAGCUAGAGUAUGGUAGAGGGUAGUGGAAUUUCCUGUGUAGCGGUGAAAUGCGUAGAUAUAGGAAGGAACACCAGUGGCGAAGGCGACUACCUGGACUGAUACUGACACUGAGGUGCGAAAGCGUGGGGAGCAAACAGG
rnacentral:rRNA from 1 species